rnacentral:rRNA from 1 species
AUUGAACGCUGGCGGCAGGCCUAACACAUGCAAGUCGAACGAGUGGCGGACGGGUGAGUAAUGUCUGGGAAACUGCCUGAUGGAGGGGGAUAACUACUGGAAACGGUAGCUAAUACCGCAUACCAUCAGAUGUGCCCAGAGGGGAUUAGCUAGUUGGUGGGGUAACGGCUCACAAAGGCGACGAUCCCUAGCUGGUCUGAGAGGAUGACCGACGACACUGGAACUGAGACACGGACCAGACUCCUACGGGAGGCAGCAGGGGGGAAUAUGGCACAAUGGGCGCAAUCCUGAUGCAUCCAUGCCGCGGGUAUGAAGAAGGCCGUCGGGUUGGAAAGUACUGUCAGCGGGGGGGCGUUACCCGCAGAAGAAGGACCGGCUAACUCCGUGCCAGCAGCCGCGGUAAUAC